CACUGGACAUUGAGUGAUAUUUUGCCAUGCUGGGACUUAAUCUGAAAGAAAGACUGUAAAGAAACAGAGAAGAAGACAACAGCUGAGUUGAGACUGUGUUUGCUGGAGCUUUGAAGCCCGAACAGGACAUUGUGCAGAGAGGACCAGUGAGAGAUGAAGCUGGACGAGUUUGACUGCGAGAAUAUAGGAUAUAAUUGGAUUGAAAAUUGAAACCUGAACUCAUGAAUUGUUUAGGGAUGUCCACUACAGCAUAACAAAGAGGCCUGGAAGAGAGUGAACGGACGGCGCUGACAAAAUUACCAAGUACGAAAAUCAGUCUUCAGUGGGGGAGAAGCUGAUUGCAGGCUGACAGGAAACGGUGUGCUUUUGCAGAAGCGAAACCGAAACCAGAGCGAGUGCAAGCCAUAAUAAAGAGGAGAUAAGCGACAGCGAAGGCGGGCUAACAGGAAGCAUCAGCCGUCGACACGAAGAUGAUGUUCUAUGUUAAAAGUCAUUGUGGUUUUGGUGUGACGUAAAUCUGCCUAGUAACAGAAAAGGGGGCUGUACAAUUCUUAACCCCAUAAAACAGUUGUCUGAAUAUGAGAAAGACAGUUCAACACUGAUUGGGUUGUUGAACUCACACAUGUGUUCAUUAAAAUGCC
ensembl:lncRNA